rnacentral:rRNA from 1 species
UGAGGAAUAUUGGUCAAUGGGCGGAAGCCUGAACCAGCCAUCCCGCGUGGAGGAAGACGGCCCUAUGGGUUGUAAACUUCUUUUCAAGGGGAAGAAAGUUCGCGACGUGUCGCGAUUUGCCGGUACCUUUGGAAUAAGCAUCGGCUAACUCCGUGCCAGCAGCCGCGGUAAUACGGAGGAUGCGAGCGUUAUCCGGAUUUAUUGGGUUUAAAGGGUGCGUAGGCCGAUCGAUAAGUCAGCGGUGAAAUACCAUGGCCCAACCAUGGAACUGCCGUUGAUACUGUCGGUCUUGAAUAUGGUCAAGGUAGGCGGAAUGUGUAAUGUAGCGGUGAAAUGCUUAGAUAUUACACAGAACACCGAUUGCGAAGGCAGCUUACUGGUCCAUUAUUGACGCUGAGGCACGAAAGCGUGGGGAUCGAACA